GAUGGCUGGAAUGAGCCACAGAAUCAGAGAGAGAACCGAUGCACUUGAUGCUGCAGGAAACACCACUGCUGCUAUUGGAAAGGGAUUUGCUAUUGGUUCUGCUGCACUUGUGUCUCUUGCCCUCUUUGGGGCGUUUGUCAGCCGGGCAGCAAUUUCCACUGUAGAUGUCUUGACUCCUAAAGUCUUUAUUGGUCUGCUAGUCGGUGCAAUGCUUCCUUAUUGGUUCUCCGCCAUGACAAUGAAGAGUGUUGGAAGUGCUGCUCUUAAGAUGGUUGAGGAAGUGCGUAGGCAAUUCAACACCAUCCCUGGUCUGAUUGAGGGCACUGCCAAGCCA
rnacentral:misc_RNA from 1 species